UGGCAUACAACGCAUUCGUUGGUCGGUUAGAGCGCAUCGCUGAUAACGAUGAGGUCGCAAGUUCGAUUCUUGCUAGGCCCACCA
rnacentral:tRNA from 1 species